rnacentral:rRNA from 1 species
UACGGAGGAUGCAAGCGUUAUCCGGAAUUAUUGGGCGUAAAGCGCCCGCAGGUGGCUACAAGUCUGCUGUCAAAGACUGGAGCUCAACUCCGGGCAGGCGGUGGAAACUGUCGAGCAAGAGUACGGAAGGGGUAGAGGGAAUUCCCAGUGUGGCGGUGAAAUGCGAAGAGAUUGUGAAGAACAACGGUGGCGAAGGAGCUAUACUGGGCCGUAACUGACGCACAGGUGCGAAAGCUAGGGGCGUGAAAGGG